UCCGCUAUCGGGGAUAAAAUAUUAGGAAAACUUUAUUUAUAUUAAUUUAGCCAUUUUUAUUUUUAUUUAAUAUUUUUGUUUUUAAUUUAAUUUUUCAUUUGUUUGCUUCUGGCAGAUUCUUUUGGUUUAUGACUAGAGGAAACUUGUUGUAUCCAUCACUUUUUGAUAGUGAGAUUGAAAAGACUGCUCGUAAAAAUUG
rnacentral:lncRNA from 1 species